rnacentral:rRNA from 1 species
UGGUUUAAUUCGAUGCAACGCGAAGAACCUUACCUACUCUUGACAUCCAGAGAACUUAGCAGAGAUGCUUUGGUGCCUUCGGGAACUCUGAGACAGGUGCUGCAUGGCUGUCGUCAGCUCGUGUUGUGAAAUGUUGGGUUAAGUCCCGCAACGAGCGCAACCCUUAUCCUUUGUUGCCAGCGCGUGAUGGCGGGAACUCAAAGGAGACUGCCGGUGAUAAACCGGAGGAAGGUGGGGAUGACGUCAAGUCAUCAUGGCCCUUACGAGUAGGGCUACACACGUGCUACAAUGGCGUAUACAAAGGGAAGCGACCCCGCGAGGGCAAGCGGAACUCAUAAAGUACGUCGUAGUCCGGAUUGGAGUCUGCAACUCGACUCCAUGAAGUCGGAAUCGCUAGUAAUCGUAGAUCAGAAUGCUACGGUGAAUACGUUCCCGGGCCUUGUACACACCGCCCGUCACACCAUGGGAGUGGGUUGCAAAAGAAGUAGGUAGCUUAACCUCCGGGAGGGCGCUUACCACUUUGUGAUUCAUGACUGGGGUGAAGUCGUAACAAGGUAACCGUAGGGGAACCUGCG